GAUUUAUUCAUAACUAUAGUAAAGUGGCAGCCUCUUUAACUUCCACCCUAAAGAACUUCCAAUGGUCCCCUGACGCUGAUGCAGCCACCGCCCAGGAUGAUCAAUGAUGCUCCCGCAUAUACCGUCUGACAGUUAGUGGAUGUGCGUUGGGCGGGGGCGGGGGGUCCAGUUCUUAAUAAACUGGAAAGGUUAUGGCCUGGAGGAGAGAAGUUGGGUGGAGACAGAUUCUGGAUGCUACACUCAUCAGGGACUUCUAUCGUAGGCAUCCGGAUCGAUUUCGUCGGGCACCUGGAGGUGCAGGUAGAAGGGGGGUACUGUCAUGGCCACAGCCUGAGGCUGUGGUCAGUUGCAGUUCUCUCUCUCUCUCUCUCUCUCGCUCUCUCUCUCUCUCUCUCUCUCUCUCUCUCUCUGGCUCUUAGGUGUGUGUUGGUGCAGAGGUUGGCUGCAGGUGCUGGUAAUCAGUGAUUGGCAGAUUGUGUGCAGGUGGGAGUCAUGCAAUCAGGCUGCUCCUACGCCUCUACUUAAUCAGAUGCCACUCUUCUUUUGACGCGGGACCGUGAACAACGACUAAUCUUCUGUCUGGUGCCUCUGCCAUCGUUUCCUCUCCAGAUCCGUUGUGAGAAACACCUGCUGCUAGCCGAAUCUGUGGAGAUCCUUACCUCGCCACCUAAGACGCCAUGACCACCUAAGCAGAUAGAGACAUUGAGGAAGCCAGGAUUCCCACACCUCCACUUCAGCCACUCCACCGCUGCCAUUACAUCUGUUUGGGAGGAUUCACUAUCUGGACUGGUUGAGCCUGGCCUUCCCCUGAUUCCGAACUCUGUUAUUCUGAAGCCCUCAGUUAAGUCCCUGUUCCUUAUUGUUAACCUGUGUUAGUAUUUGCAGUCAUUCGUAUAAUUCUUAUCCUGUAAUAUUUUCUGGUUAAGGUUAGUCAUGUAAAUAGUUUUUCUGGCUCUGGGUUAGUCUUGUUCAGGAUUACUGUAGUGUUUAUUCUGGUUCUUCUUUGUUUAGUCCUCUGUUUAUUUCGGGGAUUCCUGCCUUGGUGUUACCAAUCGUGGGUUUUCAUUUAGGUUUCUUUAUUGAGUGUAAAUAUUCUGCCAGCCCAUUAGAGCAGUUCAUUCCAUACUGAGAUUUCAGUUCAGUAUUGCUUCCUGUUCCAUUUUGUAGUUUCUGGUAAAAUUGUAGUUCUUGUUUUCCUGUGUUCUAAAUAAAAGUAUUCUAAAACUUGA